UAAGGAAUAUUGGUCAAUGGACGCAAGUCUGAGCCAGCCAUGCCGCGUGAAGGAUGAAGGUCCUCUGGAUUGUAAACUUCUUUUAUCUGGGACGAAAACGGGAUUUUUAUCUCAAUUGACGGUACCAGAGGAAUAAGCACCGGCUAACUCCGUGCCAGCAGCCGCGGUAAUACGGAGGGUGCGAGCGUUAUCCGGAUUUACUGGGUUUAAAGGGUGCGUAGGUGGGCUUAUAAGUCAGUGGUGAAAUCUCCGAGCUUAACUUGGAAACUGCCGUUGAUACUAUAGGUCUUGAAUUAUCUGGAGGUAAGCGGAAUAUGUCAUGUAGCGGUGAAAUGCUUAGAUAUGACAUAGAACACCAAUUGCGAAGGCAGCUUACUACAUAUAAAUUGACGCUGAGGCACGAAAGCGUGGGGAUCAAAC
rnacentral:rRNA from 1 species